GACGAACGCUGGCGGCGUGCUUAACACAUGCAAGUCGAACGGUAAGGCCCUUCGGGGUACACGAGUGGCGAACGGGUGAGUAACACGUGGGUGAUCUGCCCUGCACUUCGGGAUAAGCCUGGGAAACUGGGUCUAAUACCGGAUAGGACCACUGCCUGCAUGGGUGGUGGUGGAAAGCUUUUGCGGUGUGGGAGGGGCCCGCGGCCUAUCAGCUUGGUGGUGGGGUGAUGGCCUACCAAGGCGACGACGGGUAGCCGGCCUGAGAGGGUGACCGGCCACACUGGGACUGAGAUACGGCCCAGACUCCUACGGGAGGCAGCAGUGGGGAAUAUUGCACAAUGGGCGCAAGCCUGAUGCAGCGACGCCGCGUGAGGGAUGACGGCCUUCGGGUUGUAAACCUCUUUCAGCACCGACGAAGCGCAAGUGACGGUAGGUGCAGAAGAAGGACCGGCCAACUACGUGCCAGCCGCCGCAGUAA
rnacentral:rRNA from 1 species